rnacentral:rRNA from 1 species
UACGUAGGGCGCAAGCGUUGUCCGGAAUUAUUGGGCGUAAAGAGCUCGUAGGCGGUUUGUCGCGUCUGCUGUGAAAACCUAAGGCUCAACCUUGGGCUUGCAGUGGGUCCGGGCAGACUAGAGUGCGGUAGGGGUGACUGGAAUUCCUGGUGUAGCGGUGGAAUGCGCAGAUAUCAGGAGGAACACCCGUGGCUAAGGCGGCUCUCUAGUACGGUACUGACGCUGAGACGCGAAAGCGUGGGGAGCGAACAGG